rnacentral:rRNA from 1 species
GCUACACAUGCAGUCGAGGGGUAUAGUAGCUAUACUAGAGACCGGCGCACGGGUGCGUAACGCGUAUGCAACCUACCUUCUACUGGGGGAUAGCUUUCGGAAACGGAAAUUAACACCCCAUAAUAUUGAUAGAUCUCCUGAUUUUUCAAUUAAAACUCCGGUGGUAGAAGAUGGGCAUGCGUGACAUUAGCUAGUUGGUAGGGUAACGGCCUACCAAGGCUACGAUGUCUAGGGGUUCUGAGAGGAAGGUCCCCCACACUGGUACUGAGACACGGACCAGACUCCUACGGGAGGCAGCAGUGAGGAAUAUUGGUCAAUGGGCGCAAGCCUGAACCAGCCAUGUCGCGUGCAGGAUGACUGCCCUAUGGGUUGUAAACUGCUUUUUUAUGGGAAGAAAAAGGGGUACGUGUACCUCUCUGCCGGUACCAUACGAAUAAGGAUCGGCUAACUCCGUGCCAGCAGCCGCGGUAAUACGGAGGAUCCAAGCGUUAUCCGGAUUUAUUGGGUUUAAAGGGUGCGUAGGCGGUUUAUUAAGUCAGUGGUGAAAUCUUGCAGCUUAACUGUAAAAUUGCCAUUGAUACUGAUAGACUUGAGUAUAGUUGAGGUGGGCGGAAUGUGUUGUGUAGCGGUGAAAUGCAUAGAUAUAACACAGAACACCAAUUGCGAAGGCAGCUCACUAAGCUAUAACUGACGCUGAGGCACGAAAGCGUGGGUAGCGAACAGGAUUAGAUACCCUGGUAGUCCACGCCGUAAACGAUGAUUACUCGUUGCAGGCGAUAUAGAGUCUGUGA